CUUCCUUCACCUGCCUGGAGGAGUGAACACCAACAAAUUGACGUUGAGGCAGCUUCUUUCUUUCCUACAUGCUGGCCUUCAACCUCACUGAAAGAUGAGACUGAGGCACAGACGUAGGAUGCUGAAAGAGCAUGGAAGAACCUAGCAGAUGAGAGCAAGGAGCAGCAGAAGGUGGCAGCACUCUUGCUCCACACCCAGACUCUGCGCAAUUUACACAUGGGAAAGAUUGGAAAGGUCAUGUGACGUCAGCUUGGCCCACACAUUGGAAUGGGAAUCUGUUGGCAAAGUGAAAAUUAUUGGUCUCGCAAAACUGAGAUGGGAACAUCGACCUGAAAAGAAUGCAUCUUAUGGUUUUUACAAUGCCAUUUAGGAAUAUGACAUGAAUAUCCCAAAGUACAGAUGUAAGAAUGUGAAUUUUAAGUUCAAUAGAGAAGAAGGGAGAGAAAGAGAUAGAAAGGAGGAGAGGAAAAGACAGCAUGCCAUUUUUCAAGACGUAACUCUUAGCAUCUCUUUUUCUUUCCCGGAAAGUACUGAAUAUUGAUAAGAAUUGUGAAGACUCUGAGGCCUCCCAGUAUUUUGGAGAACAUUUCACAAAGCAAACUUUAGUCAUGUAAAAUG
rnacentral:lncRNA from 1 species